AUUGAACGCUGGCGGCAGGCCUAACACAUGCAAGUCGAGCGGAAACGAUCCUAGCUUGCUAGGAGGCGUCGAGCGGCGGACGGGUGAGUAACGCGUGAGAAUCUACCCAUGAGUGGGGGACAACCCGGGGAAACUCGGGCUAAUACCGCAUACGCCCUACGGGGUAAAGCAGGGGACCUUCGGGCCUUGCGCUGAUGGAUGAGCUCGCGUCGGAUUAGCUUGUUGGUGAGGUAAAGGCUCACCAGGGCGACGAUCCGUAGCUGGUCUGAGAGGAUGAUCAGCCACACCGGGACUGAGACACGGCCCGGACUCCUACGGGAGGCAGCAGUGGGGAAUCUUGGACAAUGGGGGCAACCCUGAUCCAGCCAUGCCGCGUGUGUGAAGAAGGCCUUCGGGUUGUAAAGCACUUUCAGCAGGGAGGAAGGCUUACCCCUAAUACGGGUGAGUACUUGACGUUACCUGCAGAAGAAGCACCGGCUAAUUUCGUG
rnacentral:rRNA from 1 species